UUGCAGGCUGNAACCCGCCUGCAUGAAGUCGGAAUUGCUAGUAAUCGCGGAUCAGCAUGCCGCGGUGAAUACGUUCCCGGGCCUUGUACACACCGCCCGUCACACCAUGGGAGCCGGUAAUACCCGAAGUCAGUAGUCCAACCUCGUGAGGACGCUGCCGAAGGUGGGAUUGAUGACUGGGGUGAAGUCGUAACAAGGUACC
rnacentral:rRNA from 1 species